CUGGCGGGCUUCAUCUAUGCCUGUUACGUUGUGAAAUGCAUCACUGAAGAAGAGGACAGCUUUGACUUCAUAGGUGGCUUUGAUUCUUAUGGCUAUCAAGGGCCUCAGAAGACAUCUCACUUACAACUACAGCCAAUGUACAUGUCAAAAUAACACAGAUGACUUCUGUCUGUCAGCCCAUGGACUUCUCAAAUGACUUGUGCAGUGGCCUCCUGCCUUUUGUGAAGAGCAAGAAGCAAAUGAAUUUAAAUACACAUACACGUUAUUACCAGACCAAACAGGAAGUUUCUACAUAGACACGUGUGAAAACACACACACACAUACACUCACCACUAUCACGAUCAUGCACACAUCAACUCCACUGGACCUCCGACUGAAGCUGAUAAAUAUGCAGGCCACGCCUAUCCUGGAUUUCCUUUAAAGCAGGCUCCCUUCUCCCAGGCCUUUGAAGGUGGGAAAGGAGACGCGUUGGUGCCCCCUGCAGGCUGUUUCUUACUCCUCUGCAGCACAGCCUGUUGACUGGGGAGGUGCCGAGUUAACCCAGGCACACUCCUUUGGAACCCUUUUCUGCACUCCAUACCAUACACGUUGGUAGCACCACAGCUACUUAGGCAACAUAAUUGCAAAAAAUAAAUAAAUAAAUAAAAAUUUAAAAAAAAAAACAGACAGAACAUGCUGUGAUGACCUUGUACCAAAUGUGAAAUGGCAGGAUGUUUGCCCUAAAGGCUAUACCGUACUUACUUGCCUUAACCCACCUGAGUUGUGUGCCCGAGACUCUCAGUCCCCCAGUCACUUCCUUUAGGCUCACACACUGCUAUUAAUUCCGAACAAUUUGACUCUAUCUCGCGUCAAGGAAGAAGAUGGAAACUCUCAGCAGCCCCAAUGUGUCUGUGUAAGGAAAUGAUGCUUUACCACUGAGCCUCUUCGGUGGCCACAAAGAGACAAGUACCAACGGCAACAGCAGCUGUCAUCUUCAGGUCUCUGAAACAUGGUCUUCUGAUGUAGUCGGGGUGAAACAAAGUAAAAUGUGUGAAUCUACUAAACUUGUUAAUCUACCGAAAGCGGAGAUGGCUUGACUGCUUGGUUGUAUCUCUUGCACUCUAGGUGCUUCCCUGAGUAUCUACAAAUGGCUUUUCCUAACACAGGAAACAGCUGUGGAUUUCUAUGACAGAGGCCAACUGACAAUGUAUUAGCUAUGUUUACUCUUUUAUAUCUAACUCAAAUCCAAGACCCGAUGUAGGUGAACUUUCUUUUCUAUCUUCGGCGUACGAGAUUAUUUUUGGGGCGGGUGGGGGGGGAGCAAUAGCUAACUUAGUGAAAUCUUUGAGAUCUCUUUGUGGUAUUUGGGGGAUCUGUUGUGUGUUAGAGUGUAUUUCAAUCCUCCUGUAUUAUUGUGGCAGAAAAAAAAACCUGUGCUGUUGACGUAGUUGGCAAUGAAAUGCCUUUGGAGACAAUAGUAGGUCAAUGUGUUUAUGGCAUAUUCUGAACUCCUAGGAAAUUUAGUUCUAUAUUUUCAAGCACCGUUUGGUUCUCAUUAGUGGGAAACAUAAUUAGCUCAAGCUUAUCAGUAACACAGAUGAGUCAUGUUUUCUUGGGUCCACUUGAGACACGAAAACUGAGUUUUCUUUAGCACAUCAUCUUGACGUGCAGUGAAAUUCAGACCGAGAAGUUAAACAUUGUCAGAGAGUAACUUUUUUUUUCUUUUGGCACUUACAAUUUUGCUUACGGGGUUAACCCUUUUUGCAGCUUAAUUCAUUCAGAUCUCCAUAAGACAGGUCAGUUGCUGUCUUUGCAUAGAUGUUUUGCGAAACAUGACCCCAUACCCAUUUAAAAGCGAUGAAGGAACCAAAAGUAAAUAUCGGAACAUACAUCAUCACAUGCGCAAAAAGAUUUCAACCCUCACACUUGAGUUUUCCCAGUGGCUUGUUUAUGGUGGCCGUACCUACAGGCAUAAACUGAACAGUUGCAAACACAUCGGUGAAGCCUCAUAUGGUGUUUUUAUAGUAAGAUGCAUGUUUAAUGUUUGAAGAAAUCUAUUCACCAACGUACUGUCCCUUUUAUUCUGAAAAUACAAACGCUAUACAUGCCAGAAGUUAUUCUAAUGUCACCACGGACGUGAGGUUUCACCGUCUGGCUACUGCAAUGGGAGUCCACCUUGUAGCGUGUGCGCAGGGAGUCCACCUUGUAGCUACUGCGAUAGGAGUCCACCUUGUAGCGUGUGCGUGUGUAGCGCAGGGAGGAAAUCAAAUAAGCCGUCACGUUUCUUUUUUAAGUUGCAGCAGACUCACCACCAAGUCACUCUAUCUAUCAUCACCACCAAAUAUUUCAGAAACAGUUGUUGACUGCCAAAGAGUAGUCACAUGGCGGGCCUUUUUAGGAGCAGCAAGCACAGUCAUGUGGUUGAUUCUAUCUGGGGAAACAUCAAAGUUGUACAGCUGUAUCCUCCUCAAAAUCUGGUGAAGAACGCUAUUUUUCUAGGCUGAGCUUUUGUUAUAAACCUAAUAUUCUGAAAGCAAGAGUUAAUAAUCCUGAUCUGUCUUUUUUUUUCCUCUCCUGCAUUUGUUAAUUCUGAAUGUAUUUUUAACAGAGUGAUUUUUUUGACUUACUAGUGUAAUUUGCAUUUUAAAAAUAAAUGGAAAAACAAUGAAGUUUCU